GUAGUCCACGCUGUAAACGAUGGGUACUAGGCUUGGCGGGAUUUGACCCCUGCUGAGCCGGAGCUAACGCAAUAAGUACCCCGCCUGGGAAGUACGGUCGCAAGACUAAAACUCAAAGGAAUUGACGGGGGCCCGCACAAGCGGUGGAUCAUGUGGUUUAAUUCGAAGCAACGCGAAGAACCUUACCUGGGUUUGACAUCCUCUGACCGAUCUAGAGAUAGAUAAUCUGUAGCAAUACAGCAGAGUGACAGGUGCUGCAUGGCUGUCGUCAGCUCGUGUGGUGACAUGUUGGGUUAAGUCCCGCAACGAGCGCAACCCUUGUCCUUAGUUGCCAGCAUUCAGUUGGGCUCUCUAAGGAGACUGCCGUGGUGAACACGGA
rnacentral:rRNA from 1 species